CUUUAAUUAGUUUUUUCAUAGCUUCCAUCUUUUCAUCCAUCACAGAUGGUCCGUACUGAUAAUCCUGGAGUGAGAGUAUUUCUGCUUCGGUAAAGAGGAAGAGACCAUGUGCCCAUUUAGUAAUGCUGGGCUGACGCUGUAAAAUCUGUUCCUUUACCGAUUCACUGCUGUCAUCCAUAUCACCAAUCACCACUAGAAUGUUU